CGAGCCCCUCGGCGGCCGGGCCGGAAAGCAUCAACAGAAAUACAGAUGCAAAAGCAAGACCUGGAUAAAUGAGACAAGUAUUGUUCCUUCAAGCAGAAUGUCCUGACUUCAAGACAGAAAGAGACAGAUCUGGCUUCAAUUGAAGACAAAGAAAGAGAAACUUUCUUACUGCCCUACAUCAUUGCCAUGGAUUUCUUUGUUGCACUGUGUGGGAAACUCAGCCUCCACCAGCCUGAUUCACUUAGAUUUAACCCUAACGGCUCAAUGGGACCCUGUCUACACUAGGGAUAUUUACUGAGGAUUUCCCAUUGACUGUUGCAAGAACUUUCUCCAGCUCCACCAGUAUGGCACAGCACAAAACUUCCACUCAAGGCUUUGAAUCCUUUAGGCUAUUGCUACUUCUUCCAGUCUUACUAACGUCAGUGAAACAGAGCCAGUAGUGAGGCAUUUCUGGAAAGUUUCCUUUACACAGAGAUAGUUUUCAUCUCCUUGGCCAAGUCUGUAGUAGGCUACCUUCAACAAUCCCCUGCUCUCUGUUCACUAGCUAGUCUCUUAAAAGCUCCUCUGUCCCGCAGUGAGCUGCACUCUCUUCACAUUCAUUGACACUGUACACGUAGUUACAUAGCGUUAUGAGCACAUACAACUGCCUUUCAGUUCUUAUCUCUUCAGGAAUGGAAAUUCUUGUCAAAUCCUAGCAUAGGUCAUGCAACCUUACUACCAUUCUGCUGACAGCAGCUAUUCUUGGAAAUACAUGAAUUUCUGGAAUCCCCAAAACCAAAGAGCUUUGGCUCCAUGAACAGGAAUGGCAAACUCAAACUGCAAACCCACUUGACUAAGCAGAGGCGUUUAAUUAAAUCAUUUUUCUAUUACACUGAUAAACAAUCAGAUAUGACUGUUGUCAGUAGAUGUAACAGUUUCUAUUCUUGUUCCUCCACAGCACCUUAAUUAAAUUACAAUUGUUGUGUUGGAAAACACAUCUGUGAGAACCUUCAAGUAGAAAACAUCAAAAAAUAUUCCUAGCAAAAAAGAAAUCAAUUAAUAGUGCAAUAUUUCUUGGUAGACAGAACAAAAAAUAGUUGGAUUAAGAGUGCAGUAGAGAAGAUUAAGGUUUGACAUAUGGAAUAUCUAAUAGAGAAGCACUAAAAAAAUAUUGACUGGGAAAGGAACGGAGUCUACAGUACUGAUUAUCUUCUAGUACAACUGAAACGCACUGCCUCAGAAGUGAUAUAGACAUAACUGAUUCUACCUUGAUCCAAACCAAAGACUGAAGAUCUGUUGAGAAGCCUUUCAGCUCUGUUUCCCUAUGGCACUACUUUGUUGAAAAUUUCUAAAGAAUGAAGUAAAGUCCUGUUCUCAUUUACAUGCA